GAGGAAAGUCCGGGCUUCACAGGGCAGGAUGCCGGAUAACGUCCGGUGGAGGCAACUCCCAGACCAGUGCAACAGAAAUAUACCGCGUUAGCAAUGAGAAGUGCGCAGACAUAAAAGAAUGGACCCGAUGCAAGCUUGCUUGCAAGAGGGGACAUACUUUUAUGUCUGCAUACGGCGAAUGCCGUGUACUGAGGAUUGCCUGCAAUCCGAGGUAAGCACUUUGUAUUUACUGCGUAAGGGUGGAAAGGCAGUGUAAGAGACUACCGCCGGCCCGGUAACGGGACGGGCACAUGUAAACUCCAUUCGAAGCAAGACCGAGAAGAAAGCGAUACGGCUGCCCGUCGUGCUUUCAGGUGGGUCGCUUGAGCCUCCCGGCAACGGAAGGCCUAGAUAGAUGAUCACCCCAGACAUAACCCGGCUUACAGGUCCG
rnacentral:RNase_P_RNA from 1 species